rnacentral:rRNA from 1 species
GAUGAACGCUAGCGGCAGGCCUAACACAUGCAAGUCGAGGGGUAUAGUAGCAAUACUAGAGACCGGCGCACGGGUGCGUAACGCGUAUGCAAUCUACCUUUUACAGGGGAAUAGCCUAGAGAAAUUUGGAUUAAUGCCCCAUGGUAUAUAUGAAUCGCAUGGUUUAUAUAUUAAAGUUCCAACGGUAAAAGAUGAGCAUG